AAGUCGUAACAAGGUUUCCGUAGGUGAACCUGCGGAAGGAUCAUUAUAAAAUUUUUCUUGCAUAUUUUUUUAAAAUGUGUAAAAAAAAAUCUUGUAUUCAAAACCCACACUCUUUUAAAACCCAUAAUAAAAAAAUUUUUGUUAUAUACAUGAAAUUUUUUUAUUUAAAAAUAAUAUAAUAAAAAGACAACUUUCAACAACGGAUCUCUUGGCUCUC
rnacentral:misc_RNA from 1 species